AACAAGAUGGUUGAGAAUAUAAACGAUAAACUGUAAAUUUAUUAACGAGUUAAUACUCUCUUGUAC
rnacentral:tRNA from 1 species